CCCUCAUGUCAAAGAUGCCAUCACCCACCUUAUGUCAAAUCCAGACUCAGUCCCACUCGCCGGGUUAGUCCUUGAUUUCUUCUGUCUUCCCAUGAUUGAUGUGGCCAAGGAACUGGGCCUCCCUUCUUAUCUAUACCUCACCUCUGGUGCUGGUUUUCUUGGCCUCAUGCUCUACCUCCCAACUCACCAUAGCCAAAUCGGCACUGAGUUUGAAGACUCGGAUCCUGAUCUGGAGCUCCGGAGUUUCGUCAACCCAGUUCCUGUUCGCGUUUUGCCUGAAGCCGUGAGUAACAAGCAUGGUGGUUACGCUGCUUACAUAAAGGUUGCUCAGAGGUUCAGAGAGGCUAGGGGCAUUAUAGUAAAUACGUUUUCUGAGUUGGAGCCUUACGCCGUUGAGUCGUUCGCCGAUGGUCAGACCCCCCCGGUGUACACGGUAGGACCGGUUCUUGACCUCGGGGGUCAGGCUCAUUCCUGUUCAGACCGGGUUGACCACGGUAAGAUCAUGGGGUGGCUUGACGCUCAGCCGGAAUCGUCCGUGGUGUUCCUCUGCUUUGGAAGCAUGGGGACCUUCGACGCGCCCCAGGUGAGGGAGAUCGCCCUUGGGCUCGAGCGCAGCGGCCACAGGUUCCUCUGGGCCCUGCGUCUGCUGAGGCUCGAUGGCAAACUCGGUGGAAGCUCUGACGGCACGGAACUCAGCGAUAUCUUGCCUGAGGGGUUCCUGGAUCGAAUCGGAGAGAGGGGAAUGAUCUGCGAGUGGGCACCGCAAAUGGAAGCGCUGAGCCACAAAUCAAUCGGAGGGUUCCUAUCCCACUGCGGGUGGAACUCCAUCUUAGAGAGCAUAUGGAACAGUGUACCGGUAGCGACCUGGCCCAUGUAUGCAGAACAGCAGCUGAAUGCCUUUGGACUGGUGAAGGAACUGGGAUUAGCAGUGGAAAUGAGACUGGACUAUCGACAGAUUGGGGGAGAAGUAGUAAUGGCGGAAGAGAUAGAUGGUGCAAUAAGAUGUGUGAUGGAGCAUGAUAGCAUGGUGAGGAAAAAGGUGAAAGAAAUGGGAGAGAUGAGCAGGAGGGCUGUGAUGGACGGUGGGUCUUCCUCCAAGUCCCUUGGACGCCUGAUCGCGGAUAUCAUGAAUCAUCCCCAGUUCCCCACUAACACUGUCACUAACUAGUUUAUUGCUUUGUGUGAUCACGUGGGCUUUCUUCUUUCCUUGGUAAUAAAAAAAUGUUAAAUAAAUGAAUAUAAUAAAAUAGAAGAGAGGCGGUGGAAUAAUUGAGUGGAUUGGGUGUUGGACAUGCCAAGACACAAUCAUUACUUGUCAUAGCCUGGCCCACCACUGACCACACCACAAUUCUAUGCUUAUAACGUAAUGUAAUGAGCCCCGAUUAGAUUGGGUUUGAGAACAAUACAAAUUAGUAGGGCAUGUGCCACAAAUUUUGGCAUAACUGGCUUGUAUUUUGGGUCGGAUCAAAUAUUGGCCGGUCCAAACACAAGGCAUUUUACGGUCUUACCCUUCAUGAAAAAUUUAAAGAAAGAAUUAAUGUCUUUUAAAUUUUUUUAUUAAUAUAAAAUAAAGAAAAUAGAUUAAAAUAUAUCAAAAUUUUCAAUAAUAUACAAACAUGUAUGUAUGAUACAAACAUUUCAAUGAAAACAAAAAGAUAUCACCGUGUUUUUUUAUCUUUGUUUGUGCUUAAUUAUAAAGCUACCUUAACAUACGCCUUAAAAAAAAUCUUAUAACAUAUUUUGUGUACUCAUUUAUUGGUUAUUUGAUGCAUUUAAAAAUGAUUUAAGAUUUUACUUUUCCAAAUAUUAUAAGUAGUUUCAUUCUUUCCUCCAAAGUAAAUAAAUAAUUUUUUUAAUUAAUUUAAUUUCAGAGUUUGAGCAAAUCCACAACAUUUUUGUUCAAUUAAUGAAAUGACAUCGUAAUUACAUGUGAAUUAUCAAAUAGAUCUUCACAAAAUCAAGAGUGGAAAAAAUUAAAAAAUAUAUAAACAAUUAAAAAUUUUAAACAUAUUUUAUCAUCAUUAAUAUUAAUACCUUACAUUGUGGUAAAGAUAACAAAAAAAAAAUUUAUUUAUUAGUCAUUUUUAUUUUAUUAAAUAUAUACUUUUAAUUAUUAAGAUAAAAUAAGAUUUUAUUCUUUAAAUUUGAUUGGAUUUCAAUACUUAAAUAAUUAUUUUUUUAUUUAUAUAAUUUUGAUAUUUAUUAUAGAUAAAACUUAAAUAUUUAAUCCAUUUUAAAUUUUACAAAUAUAUAUAUAUAUAUAUUCUAUUCGAUUUCUUAAGUUUGAUAAAAAUCAAUUGGUGUAUUAGAAGAGGAUGAAAACUAUUACCUUGUCGCUAUUUCACAUCACCACUCCCUCUCAACCUUGAACCUUAACCCCCUAAUCGUCAAUAUAGAUCUUUCCCCAAAUGACUCGAUGCUAUAACUCCUUAAUCGAAAUUCAAAAAUGAAACAAUUGAAUUUUCUUCCUCAACCUCUUCUUUUUAAUAUUAGUUGUAUCCGUUAUAAGUUUCUUAACUUUCUAAUAUUAAUUGGAUUGGAUUUUUAAUUUUAAAUUAUUUUUAAAAGUUCGUAAAUUUUAUGAAUCAAAUAUGAUUUGAUUUAAAUUUAUUUAUCUAAAAAGAAUUAAAAAGAUUAAAGAAAAAAAUGUAUUUUAGACUGAUCAUAUAUGAGAAUUUUUUAAAUUAAUAGAUAAAAAGAAUAAAAUAAUAAAUAUAUCCCAUUUUACUUUAUCAAUUUUUUUAUCUAAUUUUUGUUAAAAUUAUAAUUUUAUUCCGUCAUAGAUUUCUUUGAAUUUUAAAAAUAAGUGAAAAUAAUUUUAAUUUAUUAUUGGAAAAAUUAUUAUUUAUUUCGCUCUAUAUUUUAAAUUAGUUUUCAAAAACAACCAUAUGAAUAAUGCAUAAAAUUUUCUUUGUAUAGUUAGUGUAUUUUCAAAAAUGACAAAAUUCUUAAUAAAUGAUAGUCUUGUACACCCAUUUGAAUAAUUAGUGUAUUUUUCUUAUACAAAUAAUGUAAUAACCUUGUAUAGUUAUAUAAAUUUCAUAUAUAUACAUAAAUUAUGUUCACAUAAAUUUCAUACAUAUGCAUAAAUUAUGUUUACCUGAGUAUGUAAACUAUGUUCAUAAUGGUUUGACAUUUAAAAUAAUUAAAACAAAUAAAAUGAUAUUUAUUUUAUUUUUAAUAUAAAAUGUAAUUAAAAAUAAGAUAAAAUUAUUAUUUAAAUCAAAUUUAUUUAUUUAUUUUCUUUCAUUUUUGGAAAUAAAGAAAAAAAAUAAAAAAUUUAUUUAACCAUAAAAAAUAUAAAUAUAAGAUAGGUUAUAAAAUAUCAAAUUUAUUUAUUUCAUUUUAUUUUUGAAAUUAAAGAAAAAAGAAUAAAAAAUUUAUUUAACCAUAAAAAUAUUAAUAUAAGAUAUGUUAGGAAAUAGAAAUAAUUCAAAAUUUAUUUACUUAUUUCAUUUUAUUUAUUUAAAUUAGAAAAUAAUUUAUUUUAAUAGAUCAAAAUGUGCCCCCUAAUGUUUUACUUUGUUUAAUAGCAAACAUACAAUAUAUUUUAGUUUAUUAUUAUUUUAUAUCCUUAAUAUCAAUUAGAUUGAUAUAAGGAUGUUUGGACAAUUUUGACUUAGGCACAUUUCACCUCAAGCACAACUCUCACCUAGUUCUCAUUGGAUAUUGAAAAUUGUGUAGGAGCUAUCGACACCAUUACAGCCAAACCACAAUAAAGGUGGGACCAGCCGACGAGACCAUAAAUCAUUUCCCUUAGCAGGAAAAAUAUCAGCAAGGAAGAAGGUAAAGUGCUGCAUCAAGAAAAGUAGGAAUUCAGAAAAAGAAGAGACACCUGAGAAUUGCAAUGAAGAAAGCAGAGCUGGUGUUUGUCUCGGUAGCAGGCCGCGGUCACCUUGUAUCAACUGUAGAAUUCGCAAAACGCUUAAUCCAAAGGGAUGAUCGCUUUUCGGUCACCAUCCUCUCCAUCAACUCCCCAUUCGGCCCCGACGCGCAUGGAUACAACAAAUCACACCUUGCUUUUGAACCCGGUCUCAGUUUGAUCGAUCUCCCUCCACAGGAUCCCCCUCCACCUUACCUUAAAAAAUCCAUUGCACAAUUCCUGUCAGUUUACAUCGAGAGUUACAUUCCUCAUGUGAAAGACGCCAUCAUCAACCUCAAAUCAACUCGGCCUCUCGCUGGGGUAGUCCUUGAUUUUAUAUGCAUCUCAAUGAUUGAUGUGGCCAACGAACUGGGUCUUCCCUCAUAUCUGUUUCUAACCUCUGGUGCUGCUCUUGUUAGCCUCAUGCUCUACCUUCCCACCCGCCAUACACAAAUCAGCGCUGCCUUUGAGGACGCGGAUCCUGAGUUGGUGAUUCCAGGUUUCAUAAACCCAGUUCCGGUUAGCGUUUUGCCUGAAGCACUGAGGGACAAGCAUGGUGGUUAUGCCGCUUUUAUAAAGGUUGCUCAGAGGUUUAGAGAGGCUAAGGGCAUUAUAAUCAAUACAUUUACUGAGUUGGAGCCUUUCUUAGUGGGUUCCUUCUCCGACGGCCAAGCUCCUCCAGUGUACACGGUCGGACCAGUGCUUGACCUCGAGGGUCAGGCCCAUUCUAGUGCAGACCGGGCUGACCAUGAUAAGGUCAUGUCCUGGCUUGACACUCAGCCGGAAUCCUCUGUGGUGUUCCUAUGCUUUGGGAGUCUGGGCACCUUCGAUGUACCCCAGGUGAGAGAGAUCGCGCUUGGACUUGAGCGCAGCGGCCACAGGUUCCUGUGGUCUUUACGUCGGCCACCGCCAGAUGGGAAGUUCGGUAGCCCAAGUGAAGGCACGAAUCUGGAUGAGAUGUUGCCAGAAGGGUUCAUGGAGCGGAUCGGAGGAAAAGGAAUGAUCUGCGGUUGGGCACCACAAGUGAAAGUUCUGGCCCACGAAGCCAUUGCUGGGUUUGUAUCCCACUGCGGGUGGAACUCAAUCUUAGAAAGUGUGUGGAACAGUGUGCCAAUAGUCACAUGGCCACUUUACGCAGAACAAAAGUUGAAUGCAUUUGAGAUGGUGAAAGAAUUAGGAUUGGCAGUGGAGAUGAGAUUAGACUCCAGGUACGACGGAGAUGUUGUGAUGGCGGAGGAGAUAGAUGGAGCCGUAAGACGUGUGAUGGAGGCUGAUAGCACAGUUAGAAAGAUGGUGAAAGAGAUGGGAGAGAUGAGUAGGAGGGCUCUGAUGGAGGGUGGAUCUUCAUACAAUUCGUUUGAACGGUUGAUCCAUGCGAUGAUAAAUACCCGGUAAAUAGUACUGUUCCAAAUAUUUUUAAAAAUUAAUUUUAUCUAGGUGUUUUAUUUUCAAUUAUUUUUUAUAUUUAAUCUAUUAUUUUUAAAAUAGCCAAAUUCUAAAUUCAAAACAAAUAAGCACCAACUUAACUCAACUUUUAUGUUACAACUACAAACAAACCAAUUAUAAAUCACCUUAUACUAAAAACUCAAUGGUAAUUUUAAAAAGUGUUUUUACAUUUUUUAACAUUUAAAAUUUUUUAUCAUUUAAGUAUUAAAAUAAUUAAAAGCAUUUUUUAAAAUCACUGUCAAAUUGUAUUCUAAUAAUGCGUUUAACAAUGAUUAUAAGAAGUGUUUAUAAUAUUUUUAAUACUUGAAAAAUGAAAAUUUUUAAGUAUUAUAAAGGUUAGAAACACUUUCUAAAAUUACCAUUAAAUAUAUUCUAAAUCUAGCAAAAAUAAUUAUUUAAACAAAAAUAUUCAAAUAUUUCUUCAUAUUGCAUACAUGUUUUACACAAUUUAGGUAAUAAGUCAUUUCACUUUAAAUAACUAUCAAAUAAGGCACUUGGUUAAAUUAUUGAAAAAUACUACGGUUUUAUAGCGGUAUUUAAUAAAUAAAAUAUCUUAACAAUUGAAUAUAUAUACGUAUGAUAAAAUCUAAACUGUUGAAUAAAGAUAUAACUCAUCAAAAUAUUAAGAUACAAAUAAAUCAUAUAGGGAUGUAAAAAAUAUGACCUAAAAAUAUAUACUUCACACCAUAUGAUUGAUUUUGUUAUGUACAAAAAAUGUCCUUUAAUAUUUUAGCCAAGCCCUCAAUUAUAACAAUAAUUAAUUUAAAUAAUCUACUUCCCCGUUCUGGCCGCCUAUGCAAUGAAGUCCAGGGCCCAGACACCUUUAGCGUCACAUCAUUCUUUAGAUAUUUUAGGUUGCGGGUCCUCUUCCAUACACUUCUGGGACCGUGAUAUUGAUACCUAGAAUUUUAGGGCUUUGACAAUUUGCUUUCUAAAUAAAAUAUCUCUGAAGUUGAUAUAGAAUUUUCUUUCCUCUUUAUGACAAGGGAUUGUGCCAUCUUGAAUGUGUGGAAGUAUGAUCAUGUGGAGGUAUGCCAUCUUGAAUGACGCUGCAUUGUCAUGUUGUGAAUUAUCAAAUAGAUCUUCACAAAAAUCGGGGUGGAGAAAAUUAUUAUAAGAAAAAUCCAAUUUUUUUAUAAUUAAAAAAGUUAUUGAUUCAUGAUUUAAUAGUCGGACUUAUGAUUAAAUUAAUAACGUUAUAAAUAUAUAAUUUAUAUAUCAUUAAAAUUAAAAAUAAUUAUAAAAAAUUUAAAAAAACAUAUAAACAAUUAAAAUUCUAAACAUAUUUCAUCAUUUUAUCAUCAUAAAAAUUAAUAGCUUAUAUUAUGAUAAAAUUAACACAAUAAUUUACUAACUUAUUAGUCAAUUUGAUUUCAUUAAAUAUGUACUUUUAAUGAUUAAGAUAAAAUAAAAUUUUAUUAUUUAAAUUUGUUUGGAUUUCAAUAUUUAAAUAAUUAUUUUCUUCAAAACUAUUAGUUUAUUUAUUUAUUUAUAUAAUUUUGAUAUUUAUUAUAGAUAAAAUAUAAAUAUUUAAUUCAUUUUAAAUUUUACAAAUACAUAUUAGAAGGAGGAAAACCCCACCCCCAAAUCUUAACCUUAAGUUUGUAGUUGUUACACCCCAAAACACACUCCAAGGUCAUGAUAAUUAUUUCACACCUCAAGCCCAAAUGCUCAAAGUGGAAAUGACACAAAUAUUCAUAUUGUAAUUGGAAAUUUACCAAUUACCAAAUUCCUAUUUAGAGUAGUAUGACAAAAUUCUAAAAUUUUCAAGUAUCAACUUUAAAAAAAAAACCUAAUACAUCAACCAAUGUGUUAUUGUCCAAAUAACUCUCAAUUCAAAUAAUUUAAACAGGAAUUAAAAUUUAAUAUCUAAACAAUGUCACAAAUAAAGUUUGAACCAAAAUCCUAAUAAAGAAAAAAUUUCCCAAUUUAGUCAUUACUCCUUGCCCGAACUGAAAGUACCUGAAGAAUUAUCAACGAAGGGGCAUGAGCUUAAAGCUCAAUAAGGAACAUCAAUGCAGUUUCAUGGAUCAAACAUUUUCAAUCAUACUUACAAAUAGGAGAUAUAACAUAUACUUAUUUUUAUAAAAACUUUCGAGUUCAAAAUAUUAAUACAUUCAAACUUUUCAACAAAACUUUCUCAUAUCCAUUUCAAAACAAUUUUUUAUUAAAACCAAAUCGAAUACAUUCAAAAUAUUUUUACUUUGGUUAUCAAAUAACAAAUGGUGUCCGGUUAAGUGAGAUUUUACAAAUGAGGGGUUAGUUUCAAAUUUGUUUCAUUUAAGGUGAACAAAACCAAAUGUCAACAAUUAUAACCCGUUGACUAGGGCCGUAAGGUCAACUAUUAUAACCCGUUAACUAGGAUCAUAAGGUCAACUAUUAUAACCCGCUGAUUAGGGCCGAAAAUGUCAACAAUUAUAACCCGUUGACUAGGGUUAUAUAAUCUAGAGUCAAACAUUUUAUUUCAUUAAUUCAAACUUACAAAACAAAAUAACAUAUCUCCUUAAUUUUUCACUUUUCAUAUAUAAAUAAAGAAAAUUCUCAAAAAAAAUAUUUUUAAUACAAAACACAUAUUUGAUUCAUACGAAAAGAUAAAAGUAAUAUUUUUACACUUUACACAUUUCAAAAUACAAUAUAAAAAGAAAAUUAUUUUCUUCUAUAAAAAUCUGCAUUAAUUUCCCUUACCUUGAAGAAGCAUUCAAAAUCUUGAAGUAUUUAACUCUGAAAAAUUUUCUCCUCACCUAACAUAAUAUCAUACACAAUAUUAAUUAUUGAUUAUUUAUCCAAAUAUAUAAAUUUGAAAAUCCUAAAAAUGUUUUAUUUAGUAUUAGGGAUCCUAAUUAAUUUCUCAUGUUAAUAUUAUUAUUAUCCACUAUUAUUUUUUAACUUACUAAACAAUAAUAAAUUAAUUUAGUGAGUUUCUAAAUUAUUGUAAAAUUCAUUUUCUUUUCUAAUCUUACCCUCACUAUUUAUUUCUUUACAUAAUUAAAUUAAAUUAAAACUUAUAUAGGAAACUAUUAUUAUUAUUAAUAUUUCAUAUGUUAACUUAAAACUAAAUAUUAUAAUUUUUAUUAAUUUUCAAAUUCAAUACAUAACCAACCCAUUAUCCUCCUAUCUUCAUUGCACGCACAAAACCCUAAGAAUAAAAUUGUAAGCCUCAUGUUUCUUCUUAUUAUUUAUUAUUAUAAAAAAUAUAUUUACAUAUACAAUCUUUUCCAAUGCCUAAGUCAACACCUUGGCAACACACGCUUGCUCCAAUUUUUUUUUUUUCCAAAUCUAAAGUCCACACAAAUGAUAUAUUUAUUUAUUUUCUAAAUCUAAAAUUUCUUUUCUUCCAUUGAUUUUUCAUUGAUUUUGUUUGCUGUUUGAUUGAAUUUUUCUAAAUCUUCCUAUUUUCAUCACAAAUUAAUCAACAUUCAUAAAUUUACAGUCUUUUGAUCUAAAAAUUAAUUUAAUAAAUCCCAAUCUAGAUUGAGAUAUUCCAAAAAAAUAUCUAAAGUUUUUAAAACUAAGUAAUGAAUAUAAAAUAUUAAUUUAAGGAUUAAAAUCUUAUCUAAAAAAUUGAUCUUUAAACCCUAAACCUCAAAAUUCUGAGUUCUUUGAUCUUAUGAUCUUUGUGUAAAAGAGUUUUCUAAAUAAAGAAGAUAUGAAAAAUCUAAUUUAUAUCUAGGGAUUUCAAAUAUGAAAAUACAUUUUUACCCUUAUUAAAUUACUUUAACUAAUUAUUAAUUUCUAAAUUAUGAUUUUAUCCCUAAAUUGGGUUUGGGGCAUUACAAUAAUUGUAAAUAUUGAUCGAUAUUUUGCCAAUGACUCGAUGCUUUCACUCCUUAGUCAAUAUUAAAGGAUGAAACAAUUGAAUAUUAAUUUAUUUCCCAACCUUUUCUUUUUAAUAUUAUUGUAUCCUUCAUAAGUUUCUUAACUUUCCAAUUUUAAAUUAUUUUUUAAAAUUAAUAAAUUUUAUAUAUCAAAUAUGUUUUGAUUUAAAUUUAUUUAUCUAAUGAAAAGAUUUAGAAAAGUUUAAAAAACAUUAAAAAAAUGGAUUUUUAGAGAGAUCAUAUUUGAGAUUUUUUAAAAUUGAUUGAUAAAAAGAAUAAAAGAAUAAAUAUAUCCCAUUUUACUUUAUCUAUUUUUUUUAUAAUUUUUGUUAAAAUUAUAAUUUUAUUCCUUCAUAGUUUUCUUCAAGGUUUGAAAUAUUGAUAAAUAUGAAUAUAUUGGUAUUUGGAUUUUACGGAUAUAUGGAGAAUAUCUAAGAAAUAUCAAUAAAACAAAAAUUAUUCAAAAUUCAUGAAAAUAUUUGAAAAAACUAGAAAAAAUGAUAAAUAAAUAAAAAUACAUAUGUUAAAGUUAUUUUUUUAAUUGUAAUUGAUAUAUGUAUGGUUAAAGAAAAAAAUAUUGAUAAGUAAGAAUAUGCUAAUAUUAAUAAUUUAUUAUUUAUCUAAUCAAAUUAAUUUUAAUUUAUAAAAUAUUACAACUUAAUUAUUUUUUUUAUAUUUUAUUAUUAUUUUUAAUAAAUUCAUAUUUUUAAUAAUUUAAAACAAAAAAAAUCAAAAUUAAAUAAAUUUAAAAUGAUAAACAAAAAAAUUUUAAAAGUGAAAUGAUAUUAAUUUUUUUAAAAUAUGAUUAAUGAGAUAAAUGAUGAUGUAUUUAACAUUUAAACUAUAAUUUAUUUAAUUCAAAUGUAUUCUAAUGUAAAAUAAGUGAUGAUGCAUAUAUGAUUUUUUUAAUAUUUUAUUAUUAUAUAAAUAAUAUUGAAAAAUAUUUAUUAAAAAAAUUAUAAUGAUGAUUUUUAUACCUUUAUUAAUUAAUUAAAUAAAAUUUAAAAUAAAAUAAUUAAUUUUUUUUCAAUACUGAAAUUUAACAUAUUUAUUAUUAUCGGAUAUUAAAAUAUGAGAACUUGGUCUACAACCAAGCUUGAGCACAGGCCUUUUGGCCUGGUUCGAAUCCCCUUCGCAGCCCCUUCAAAUUUGAAGCGCGUGGGUAGCUGGGCCGCGUCCCUUUCGCCACUACUUUAAUUUAAAGCUGCCACUUUAAAUUUGAAGCGUAGGUAGCUGGGCAGCGUUGACCGCAGGAGAGUCCGAUAUAUCGGAUUUCCGGCAAAAAAUUGGCGCACCUAUUUUUCCAUUUUUCGUCGAUAUUUCGGUGAAACAUCCCAAUUUUUCAAACACGUUUUCUUUGAUUUUUAAAAAUAAGUGAAAAUAAUUUUAAUUUAUUCUUGGAAAAAUUAUUUUAAAAAACAACCGUAUGAAUAGUGCAUAAAAUUUUAAAUUAUUUAUUUUAUUAGAAAAAGAAUUUUGGAAAACCUGAGAUGGUAUGGGAUAAUAUCAGCGAUGCAAUAUGGAGCUAUCAACACCAUUAGGGCCAGCAGAUAAUAAAGGUGGGACCAUCGAUCAUUUCCCCUAGCAGGAAAAAUAUCAGCAAGAUAAGAGGUAGGUGAAAGGGAUUGUGGUAGGUGGAGGUUAAAUAUUCUUGAUCUGGGGGUAGGAAGAAGAAAAAUUAAAGAGCAGACAACGGAGAUGAAGAAAGCAGAGCUGGUGUUCGUCCCAACUCCCGCUGCUGGUCACUGCAUAUCCGCCAUAGAAUUCGCAAAGCGCUUAAUCCACACGGACGAUCGCUUUUCUGCUACCAUCCUUCAAAUGCGUUCAUUACUCAAUCCUCAUUCAGAUAUAUACAACAAAUCUCUUCUUGCCUCUGAAACCCGUCUCCAUUUAAUUGACCUCCCUCCUAUUGAUAACCCUCCACCCCAUGAUCUCUUCCUCAAAUCCGCAGAACACUACAUACUGCUUUUCAUUGAAAGCUACAUCCCUCACGUCAAAGACGCCAUCACCCACCUCAUGUCAUCUCGCUCUUCCCCAGACUCAGUCCCACUCGCCGGGUUAGUCCUUGAUUUCUUCUGUCUUCCCAUGAUUGAUGUGGCCAACCAACUAGGCCUCCCUUCGUACCUAUACUUCACCUCUGGUGCUGGUUUUCUUGGCCUCAUGCUCUCCCUCCCAACUCGCCAUAGCCAAAUCGGCACUGAGUUUGAAGACUCGGAUCCUGAUCUGGAGCUCCGGAGUUUCGUCAACCCAGUUCCUGUUCGCGUUUUGCCUGAAGCCGUGAGUGACAAGCAUGGUGGUUACGCUGCUUACAUAAAGAUUGCUCAGAGGUUCAGAGAGGCUAGGGGCAUUAUAGUAAAUACGUUUUCUGAGUUGGAGCCUUACGCCGUUGAGUCGUUCGCCGAUGGUCAGACCCCCCCGGUGUACACGGUGGGACCGGUUCUUGACCUCGGGGGUCAGGCUCAUGCCGGUUCAGACCGGGUUGACCGCAGUAAGAUCAUGGGGUGGUUAGACGCUCAGCCAAAAUUGUCUGUGGUGUUCCUCUGCUUUGGAAGCAUAGGGGCCUUCGACGCGCCCCAGGUGAGGGAGAUCGCGCUUGGGCUCGAGCGCAGCGGCCACAGGUUCCUCUGGGCCCUGCGUCUGCCGGGGCCGGAUGGCAAACUCGGUGGAAGCUCUGAUGGCUCGGAACUCAGCGAGAUCUUGCCUGAGGGGUUCCUGGAUCGAAUCGGAGAGAGGGGAAUGAUCUGCGGUUGGGCACCGCAAAUGGAAGUCCUGGCCCACAAAGCUAUAGGAGGGUUCGUAUCCCACUGCGGGUGGAACUCCAUCUUAGAGAGCAUAUGGAACAGUGUACCGAUGGCGACCUGGCCCAUGUAUGCAGAACAACAGCUGAAUGCCUUUGGACUGGUGAAGGAACUGGGAUUAGCAGUGGAAUUGAGACUGGACUAUCGACAGAGUGGGGGAGAAGUGGUAGUGGCGGAAGAGAUAGAUGGUGCAAUAAGAUGUGUGAUGGAGCAUGAUAGCAUGGUGAGGAAGAAGGUGAAGGAAAUGGGAGAGAUGAGCAGGAGGGCUGUGAUGGACGGUGGAUCUUCCUCCAAUUCCCUUGGACGGCUGAUAGCUGAUAUCAUCCCCAUUGACUAGUGUAUCGCUUAAUCUGAUCGUGUGGUUUUUCUCCUUACCUUGAGAAUUCACUGUUAAAUGGUUGAGUUGACUGGGGGUUGGGCAUUGCGAGCCAUGUACGAAUGUGGUCCACCGUCCACCAUACGGUCCAUACCACAGUUAUAUAUUAGAUAUUAUGAGGAUGAACUGUCAAGUCAUCAUUUUAUCUUAUCAAUUCUGAUUUAAGGAGUUCCAACUUCCAAGUGGGUAUGACUCCCAAGUAUAUUGGACUUGAUAAAAAUAUAAAUUGGGGUGGAUAGAACAAAAGAUUGCGUCGUGCAUGCUGAAAUCACGAAAUUGAUAUAAAUAUUUGUAUUUCUUUGCCGAUAUUAUCAAGACUAGAAGGUUAUUUAGACUUUGUUUUGCUCUAUAUUUAAAAUUCAAUACGACAUAUUCAUAGUCCAUUCCUGGUUUUGAUAUUGAUACCUCGACGAGAACAAGCAGCUAUCAUAAUACUUUUAUCUUUGAUUGUAGUUAAUUACAAGGCUAUAUUGGCAUAUGUCAUCCAAAAAUCUUAAUCACAUACUCUGUGUGCAUAUGCAUCUUCGUUGGUUAUUUGAUCCGCUUAAAAAUGUGUUAAGAUUUUAUUUUUUCAAAUAUUGUAGCGUAUGUGUUGGGAAUUUCGUUUUCUUCGGUUGACGAAACAGCAUUGCAUUGCCCUGUUUUGAAUAACAAAGAUAAUGUCCACCAAAAACAGGAGCAGAGAAAAUUAGUAGAAGGAAAAAACGGUGGUCGGAACAAGGAUUUUUUAUAAGAUUAUGGUAGUUUUAAAAAAUAAAUUUUAAAUUAUCGUUAUAUGAAAAAUAAUUCUAAAUCUAUCGUAAUUUUGUCAAAAUAGGAAAUAGAAAAUAAUUUGUAAAUGAAAAAACAUUUCUUCAAAAAACGAUUUAUGUAUCUUGAAAAGACGAUUUUCACUAAAAAAAAUUAAAAAGUGAGAAAUCGUCUUUUUAAAAGACGAUUUCAAAAAAAAAAAAUCAAGUGAGAAAUCUUCUCUUAAAGAGACGAUUUCCAUAAAAAAAAAUUGUGUAUGUGAGAAAUUCUCACUUAAAAGAAAAAAAAAAUCAAAUGAGAAAUCGUUUCUUGAAGAGAUGAUUUUCACACAAAAGUGAGAAAUUUUCACUUAAAAUAAUAAUAAUAAUAAUAAUAAUAAAUAAAAAAAGUCCAAGUGGAAAAUCGUCUCUUCAAGAGACGAUUUCCAUAUCACUUUUAAAAGUUAGAAAUUCUCACUUAAAAUAAAAAUAAAAACCCCUUCAAAAAUCCAUUUUUUCAUUCUUUAUUCUAUUUAUACCAUAAUACAAUUAUUAUAAAUAUAUAUUAUAAAAUUAAUUAAUUUUAUUUACUAAAUUGAAUAUAAGAUAAAUAAUCUAUUAUUUUUUUUCUUACUUUGAAAUUUAAAAAAAAGACUAUUAUCAAUUUAUGUGAAAAAUAAGUUUUAAAAACAAUUGUUAUUAAUUUAUUAAAUAAUUAUUUAGUAUAUUAUUUUAAAAAAACCAAAGGGGAAAUCAUCUCUUGAGACAAUUUCCACAUCAUCUUUAAAAAUGAGAAAUUCUCAGUUUUUUUUUUUAAAAAUCCUUCAAAAAUCCUUUUUUUCAUUCUUUAUUCUAUUUAUAUAAUAAUACAAUUAUUAUUUACUCUUAUAAAAAAUCCGAUGGAACAAGAGGAUGCAUGGCAAUUCCAAACCCCUGUCUAGUCUCUCUUCCACGUUCCCACUCCCUCCCAACCCCAAACCCUAACUCCAUAACCCUUAAUAACGACCGAUAUUUCGCCAACCACCCGACACUUUCACUCAUCGACCAAUGCUCCGAAACGAAACAAUUGAAGCAAAUCCAUGCCCAGAUGCUCCCUACUGGUCCCUUCUUCGACCCCUUCUCCACCAGUAGACUCAUCACCGCCGCCGUUCUUUCCCCCUUCCCCAGCCUCGAUUAUGCCCAGCAAGUGUUCGACCAAAUUCCCCACCGAAAUCUCUACACUUGGAACACUCUCAUUCGCGCUUAUGCUUCCAGUUCUAAUCCCCAUCAGAGCCUCUUAAUCUUCAUACGAAUGCUUCAUUAAUCUCCUGAUUUUUCUGACAAAUUCACUUUACCUUUUCUGAUCAAAGUCGCGUCGGAACUUGAGGAGUUGUUUACAGGGAAGGCUUUUCAUGGAAUGGUGAUUAAGGUGUUGUUGGGUUCGGACGUCUUCAUUCUUAAUUCUCCGAUUCAUUUUUACGCCAAGUGUGGAGAGUUGGGUUUGGGGUAUAGGGUUUUUGUGAAUAUGCCUAGGAGGAAUGUUGUUUCUUGGAAUUCGAUGAUUACAACUUUUGUGCAGGGGGUUGUCCGGAGGAGGCAUUGGAGUUGUUUCGGGAAAUGGAGAGGCAGAAUGUGAAACCUAAUGGCAUAACAAUGGUGGGGGUUUUGGCAGCUUGUUCCAAGAAGUCGGAUUUUGAGUUUGGGAGGUGGGUGCAUUCGUAUAUUGAGAGGAACAGGAUUGGUGGGAGCUUGACUUUGAUUAAUGCUAUGCUUGAUAUGUAUACAAAGUGUGGGAGUGUUGAGGAUGCAAAAAGAUUGUUUGAUAAGAUGUCACAGAAGGAUAUUGUCUCAUGGACGACUAUGCUUAUUGGGUAUGCUAAAAUAGGGGAGUAUGAUGCGGCUCAGGGUAUUUUUGAUGCAAUGCCUAAUCAAGAUACCGCUGCAUGGAAUGCUCUCAUAAUUGCUUAUGAACAGUGUGGUAAGCCAAAUGAGGCUUUGUAGCUUUUCCAUGAAUUGCAGCUGAGCAAAACUGCAAAGCCUGAUGAGGUCACUCUUGUUAACACACUUUCGGCUUGUGCUCAGCUGGGAGCAAUGGAUUUAGGUGGAUGGAUCCAUGUGUACAUAAGGAAGCAUGGAAUGAAGUUAAACUGCCAUCUCAUUACCUCACUUAUUGACAUGUACUGUAAGUGCGGGGAUCUGUAGAAGACACUUGUGGUAUUUCAUUAAGUGGAAAUGAAAGAUGUGUUUGUUUGGAGUGCCAUGAUUGCAGGUUUGGUAAUGCAUGGGCAUGGGAAGGAUGCAAUAGAUUUGUUUUCAAAAAUGCAAGAGGCUUAGGUCAAGCCCAAUGCUGUGACUUUUACUAAUAUACUAUGUGCUUGUAGCCACGCGGGAUUAGUGGAGGAAGGCAGGACUUUCUUCAAUCAAAUGGAGCUGGUUUAUGGGGUUUUGCCUGGAGUCGAGCAUUAUGCUUGUAUGAUUGAUAUUCUUGGUCAAGCAAACCUGUUGGAAGAAGCUGUGGAAUUGACAGAGAAAAUGCCAAUGGCCCCAACUGCUUCUAUAUAGGGGGCCCUGCUUGGAGCCUGUAUUCAUCCUGAUUCCACAACAGCACAUCUACGAGUUUAGCGUUCAUCGUAUCUUCCCAAUCCAGAGCCAUACCAAAUUGUGUAGAAACCCAUCCAUCCCUAGUUAGCUCUACUCAUCUCGGGCUCCUUUAGAAUGCUUCUUCUACUCAUUUCUCGGAAUUGAAGCCUCUAUAUAGAACCCAUUCAUGUCCUGAGUAGCAACAACCAGUAGUUGCAUCUUUAUCAGGUCUCAUUGUCGUCUUUCUCAUUUCUGUGUUCGCAUGGCUUGUGUGGGGGGUAUCCCUCCACAUGUCAUUCUCAAACUUAAGACCCCUUAGCUGACCAGGACAAAACACAUAACCCAUUUGGGAUCACCUCGUUUGGACCAAGAUAAAUUCUGUUUAACACCAGAAGUGAGAUGUUUCCUUUCUUCCACAAGCCCAAACAUAAUAGACAGGCUGGGCUCAUUAGACUCUUAGACGGGAAAAUUAAUCCAGUCAAGUCCUCAAGAUUUCUGGCAUGCGUGAUCAACCACGCCUGAUGUUUAAGCACCAGCCCAGACACCUGACAUUUGAGUGGCGGACAGGACUCUAUUUAUACCCAAUAGUCAAUGUCAAUUAAUUGUUACAUAUAAUCCCAUACAUUGGUAGGCUAAAUGGAUAGUUAGCUACAUAGUUCGAGAUUUUGGCAUGUUAGCAGUUGGCACCAAUUAGCCGCCCUUAUCUGAUAUGAUUGGCUAGCGGCCCUAAGGGCAAUCAUCAUUAUAAGAAACGCUAGAGUGCAUAGUCAACACUACAGUAACGGUGUCAUAAGCUCUAUAUAAACCCCUCAAAAAGCAUUAAUAAGGCACACACGCAUAUACGCUCAUUCUCUCACACAAAAUAGUUAGAGUUAUCCUUGUCUGACUUAAGCUUCAAAGGGGUCUGUCUGGACCACCCAUCCGGACAUCCUUUUGUGCAGGGAAGAAGUCUAUCUGAUUCUAGUGCAGUUGGACGAACUCCUCAAAAACCAUGAAGAAGGGAAGAAGUCUGCCUAACUCCAGUGAAGUCUGAUGAACUUGACUCUGGUUGGCUCGACACCAAUAGCAUUCAUGGCCACCCCAAAGCCUAUCCACAACCCUCCACCAAAAUACCUCAUCUAUCAAAUUUGAAUCUCAAGCCACAUAACUCCGCACCUACUCUAUGCCUAAAAAAAAAAAACACCUUAUAGCCAAUUCACCAUUGCCUCGAUCCUUUGUACCCAUCGAAUUGAUCACCACACCACACUCGACUUAUCCUUCAUACCAUACUCACCACCAUCAACCUAACCCACAUUGCCCACCAAGCACUCCUCAUUUUCCACACAACACUGGCUACUGUUUAACAUGACAUUAUUACCGAUUGAGAGACUUCCAGUAAAUCUCCAAUUGAUUUUGGUUUGGACGAAGGCUACUAAUCUAGACCCGAAAACCAUCUUUGUUGAUUGUUCCUUGCGCUUCGGUGGGUCUCUAGAGUUUAGAUGAAGCUGGAAAACUGGUGAAGCAAGGGGUGCUUAAGCCUGAGGAUUUCAUAUUCUUUGUUGGAUAUGUUGGGUGGCAGUUGGAUCAGUUGAGAGAGGAGAUGGGAUCAGACUAUGGGUAUGUGGCUGCAUAUAGCCCAUACGUGAUCGAUGGGGUCUUAACAGAGUCUUCCUCUGGUGUAUGGGAUGAGGUUUUUGUAGUCAAAAGGGAAAUCAUUAUUUUGAACUGAACCCGAUGCCUAAGCAGGAUAUGUAGUCAGUUUUGAGCCUACAGAAUUUAAGAAAUUGCUCGCCAAUCGGGGAGGAUAUUACGUCAACUUGUGAUGAUAGAAGCUUGGAUUCUCAUGUGGCACAAGGAGAGAAGACAAAAUGAAUGAUCAAACUCAAAAGGACAAGCCCUUGUUCCUGCCAACUUAUCUCUAUCUUUGGGACCCAUUCUCUCUCUCUAGCAUGGCAUGCAUGGCCACUCUAAAAGCCUACGCGUCUCACUCCUUAUAUUUUCAUGCAUGCCUUCAAAAACUGAUUUUCAAAAAUCUUGUUUUGAAAUAAUUUUAAUUCUUCAAUUUUUCUUUCUUGAUUUUAAAUAAAUCCAAUUUUAAUAAAUCAAUAGCUACCAUUUUCCACUAGGCAUGCAUUUUUUUUUCCUUGAUUUUUAAUAAUUUUCAAUUUUCAUGUUUUGAAUGAGCAUGAAUAAAAUUCUAUAAUUCAAAAUAAUGGAAUUUAUGAAAUUAAUUCAUGCUAAAAUAAAUCGGGCUUUGGCGGGGCCCAACAUAUGGGAUUUUCUCGUUCGUUGAUUGAUUGCUGUGCUUGAUUGACUUGCUUUGCUUUGUGACAUAUGCGAUUAUUCUGUAUUCGUUUACUAACCUUUGUUUUCCAUGAAGCAAUCAACUCACUACUCAAGUACACACAUUGAUUUUCUUAUUCAUUUGAUUAUUUUUAGAUUGAUAUUAUUUUAAUAUCCAUAUUUAAUCUAUCAAUUACCACACUUGCUUUAACUUAAUUAGUAGAGACCUAAUUCUUAGGACUAAGAGGGGUGUUAUGGCCUAUCACUAUACCUUCCCAAUAGGUAACCUGACUCCUAAACCCAUACUCAGUUUUUCACAGACCUAUUUUUCCUUUAGGAGUCACAUUUAAGGGUUUUCUUUCUUAUUUUGUUUUUCCCUUUUAAAAUAAAACAAAAAUAAGUGGUGACUCCAAAAACUUUUAAAAAAUCAAUUUUAAAAAUAACAAGCAAGUCUCGCCAUAAUGGAAACGCAUGCGUAGAAACGCGGGGUCCCUCCCGGCGCACACUUACAUAUAUAUUAUGUAAUGACCAAAUUAAUUUUGGGGGUAAAAUACCAAAAAAAAGUAAUUAAAUAUUUUUAGUAAGGGUAGAAAGGUCAUUUUAUAAUUAACAAUCCUAGGUAUAAAUUAUAUUUCUUUUUCUUUUUUGUCUUUUCUAUUUAGAAAACUUUACUAACAAAAAAUAAAAAAAUUGUAGAACAUAAGACUGAAGGUUUGAAGGUCGCAUUUUUUCAGGUAAAAUUUUAAUCCCUAAAUUAAUAUAUUAGAUUCGUUAGUUAGUUUUGAACACAUUCAAUAUUCUUUAGAAAUUUUCAAUUUAGACCAAAGCCAAUUUAUUUAAUUUUUCUUUUAAGAUCAAAAUAUUGAAAAAUUAAGAGUAUGGGUUGAUUUAUCGAUGAAAAUUGAGAAAUUUUGAAAGUCAGGAAAUUUUAAGUUUUCAGAUGAAUAAACCUAAAAUAAAAUAAAAUAAUAAUAAUAAUAAUUUGUGACUUAAUGCACGCUAGAAGUGUGUUAAUAUAAUUUAUAUACUUAUAAAGGCUUUGAUGCACUGUACAUUUGGGGGUAAUUUGGAGAAAGAAAAUAAUAAAUAAAUAAAAUAAAAACUAUUUUGCAGGAAAGUGAUUUUAGUGGAAGGCACAACUUUUAUGAAAAUUCGGGAGACUCACUCUUUAAAUUAUUAUUGAUUAGAAAGUCAAAAACAAUAUAGAUGAUAAAAGAAAUAGUCAACAUAGGAUUUUUUUUUAUUUCAAUACUUAAAUAAUUACUUUCAUCAAAAUUAUUAAUUUUUUUAUUUAUAUAAUUUUGAUAUUUAUUACAGAUAAAACAUAAAUAUUUAAUUCAUUUUAAAUUUUGCAAAUAUAUAUACAUACACACGGGGGUUGAAGAGAUGGGCUUGGGCUUAAUGAUUUGGGCUAACAACUAAGUUUUGGAAAAAGGGGGAAAUAAUAGGUUGGACCGAUAGUUGGGCUAAUUCAAUGCUUGUUCAACUCAGUUUUGGGAGGCUCCAAUCGAUGGUCCAAUUGGUUGAACUCAAUUCAAUUCGAUUUUUUAAGUUUGGUAAACACCAAUUGGUGUAUUGGAACGAGGAGGAAAACCUUAGCUCCAUUACACUCAAUAUUCAUCGAUAUUUUGCGAAUCGCUGGAUACUAUCACUCCUCAACCGAUGCUUGGAAAGGAAACAAUUGAAUAUUCUUCCUCGAUCUCCUCUUUUUAAUAUUAGUUGAUCCGUUAUAAGUUUCUUAACUUGGAUUGGAUUUUUAAUUUUUAAUUAUUUUUAAAAAUUAGUAAAUUUUAUGUAUCAAAUAUGCUUUGAUUUAAAUUUAUUUAUCUAAUAAAAAAAUAGAAAAGUUAAAAAAUAAGAAAAAAUUAUUUUAGAGAGAUCAUAAUUGAGUUACUUUAUCUAUUUUUUAUUUAUUUAUAAUUUUUGUUAAAAUUAAUAAAUUAUACCUUGAUAGUUUUCUUUGAUUUUUAAAAUAAGUGAAAUAGGUAAAAAACUUGUUAGUUUCUUGUUGGAGGCUUUUUUUUUUUUUUUUAUUCAUAACUAAAUAAAAUUGUAUUUAUAUUGAAUUUUGGAGGAUAACAAUUUAGUAAUGGGAGAUUAAGUAGUGAUAUUUUAUAUUAUUAAAAUAUAUAAUUUAUAAUAAAUAAAAAUAAUAUAUUAUUUAAUUUCAUAUUCUUUUUUUUUUAUAUCAAUAGUAUUUUAAAAUAUAGAAUAAUAAUUUUUAGUUUUUAAUCAAUCAUUUAAUAAAAAUUAAUUCUUAUGAUAUAAGGAAGCUGAGUAUAUUUUGAAUUCUAAUUUUAUUAUAUUAGAUAACUAAAAACAAAAUAAUUAAUUUCAAUAUAAAUCAAUUAAAAAUUGCAUUUUGAUUUAGUGUAAUUCUCAUAAAUAAAUUAAAAUAGAUUUUUAUUUAAAAUAUUUAUUUACUACAUGAAAGAACUAAGGAUAAAAAAUUUACUAACAAAAAUUCUUAUUUUAUAAAAUGGAUAAAUAUGAAAUAAAAAAGUUAUUAAAUUGUUAAAAUAAAUUUAUUAAAUUUGAAUUUUAUAAAUUAAUUGAAAUUGAUAUUUUAUAAUUUUGAUUUUACUGUAUCAAGGAUUUAAUUCAAAAGAAGUGCUCUGAUUUUUUUUUAAAUGAAAUUUUAUUAUAAAAUUCAUUCAAUAAUAAAAAUAUUAGUUUUAUAAAAAAAAGUUUAAAAUUGAAUACAAAAAAUUAUAAAUAAUUUAUAAUCUAAUUUCAUCUUUUUUUUAAUGUGAGGGUAAAUUUUGAAUAUCUUGAAGACUUUAAUUUUGCCAAUUACUAUAUAUAUAUAUAUUUCGUAACAAUUUAAGAAAUAAUAAAUAUCAUGUGUCUAAUUUGCAAGUUAGAAAAAAAAAAUUUUAUAAGGUGUUUAAUUUUUUUAAUAUAUAUGAAAAAAAAUGUACAACAUGCUUAUUAUUUUGUAAGUGAGAAACACAAAAAAAAAAAUCAAAAUAAUGUAGGUUUGAAAUAAUGAAUAAUAUUUAUUAUACAUUAAGUAAGUUUCUAAGGUUUUUUUUAAAAUUUUUUUAAGGUAUUUAAAAAAAUAUUUAUUAUAUAUUAUGUAUUUUUUGAAAAAAAAUAAUAAUAUUUGAUGAGUGUUUAAAAAAUAUUUACUUUUAAAAUGUAUUUGAUAAUAAUUUUUGCAAUCAUUUAUCUCUAAUAUUUAAUUUGUUAGAGAAAAAUGAUUAGAAAAUCAUUCAAUUUGGUCUUACUACUAAAUAAACAAGAGAAUGGAGAGAUAGAAAAAACGAGAAUAUGGUUUUUUUAUUUAAGGAAAAAGGGUAUUUUAGGGGAUUUUUUUAAUUGAACCAAAGGGAAUUAUGUAAAUAUGAUCAAUUUACAAAAUAUAGAUGAAAGGAGAAGUUAAAAAAAAUAAUUAUCAUUUUAUGCUUGGGAAUGGUGCCCACUUAGCAUUAUUCCAAACUAUCCGUACAUAUGUUUUGGUCUUAAAAUAACACUAUUUUAAUUUUAAAGUAAUAUUACUUUGCUAUGAAAGUAACACUCUUUUAAACUUAAGGUACCUUUGCUAAUUGAAUGAUGUACCAUCACAUAUAAGGGCAUUUUAGGAUAAUAUAAGGUAAGACAUUAAAAUGCACUCUUGGGGUUUUCUUUUCAUCCGGAUUUUGUAAACAAGUCAUGUUUACAUAGUUCCCCAUAGAAAUAUUAUUCACCUUUCUAUUUUAUCAUUAAGUUUUGAAUUCGAAUUUGUGUGAUGGGAGGACAUUGGGCAAUUAUGUGGCCCAAGCACAAUUCUCCAUGUCAAAGUCAAUAAAGGUGGGAACAACCGAUUAGCAGGAAAAAUAUAACGAAGAAGGUCGCUGCACGGAGAGAAGUAAGAAGAAGAGACUAGACAACUGAGAAUUGCAAUGAAGAAAGCAGAGCUGGUGUUUGUCCCAGUAGCAUUCCGCGGUCACCUUGUAUCAACUGUAGAAUUCGCAAAACGCUUAAUCCAAAGGGAUGAUCGCUUUUCAGUCACCAUCCUCUCCAUCAACUCCCCAUUCGGCCCCGACGCGCAUGGAUACAACAAAUCACACCUUGCUUUUGAACCCGGUCUCCGUUUGAUCGAUCUCCCUCCACAGGAUCCCCCUCCACCUCACCUUAAAAAAUCCAUUGCACAAUUCCUGUCAGUUUACAUUGAGAGUUACAUUCCUCAUGUGAAAGACGCCAUCAUCAACCUCAAAUCAACUCGGCCUCUCGCUGGGGUAGUCCUUGAUUUUGUAUGCAUCUCAAUGAUUGAUGUGGCCAAUGAACUGGGUCUUCCCUCAUAUCUGUUUCUAACCUCUGGUGCUGCUCUUGUUAGCCUCAUGCUCUACCUUCCCACCCGCCAUACACAAAUCAGCGCUGCCUUUGAGGACGCGGAUCCUGAGUUGGUGAUUCCAGGUUUCAUAAACCCAGUUCCGGUUAGCGUUUUGCCUGAAGCACUGAGGGACAAGCAUGGUGGUUAUGCCUCUUUUAUAAAGGUUGCUCAGAGGUUUAGAGAGGCUAAGGGCAUUAUAAUCAAUACAUUUACUGAGUUGGAGCCUUUCUUAGUGGGUUCCUUCUCCGACGGCCAAGCUCCUCCAGUGUACACGGUCGGACCAGUGCUUGAUCUCGAGGGUCAGGCCCAUUCUAGUGCAGACCGGGCUGACCAUGAUAAGGUCAUGGCCUGGCUUGACACUCAGCCGGAAUCCUCUGUGAUGUUCCUAUGCUUUGGGAGUCUGGGCACCUUCGAUGUACCCCAGGUGAGAGAGAUCGCGCUUGGACUUGAGCGCAGCGGCCACAGGUUCCUGUGGUCUUUACGUCGGCCACCGCCAGAUGGGAAGUUCGGUAGCCCAAGUGAAGGCACGAAUCUGGAUGAGAUGUUGCCAGAAGGGUUCAUGGAGCGGAUCGGAGGAAAAGGAAUGAUCUGCGGUUGGGCACCGCAAGUGAAAGUUCUGGCCCACGAAGCCAUUGCUGGGUUUGUAUCCCACUGCGGGUGGAACUCAAUCUUAGAAAGUGUGUGGAACAGUGUGCCAAUAGUCACAUGGCCACUUUACGCAGAACAAAAGUUGAAUGCAUUUGAGAUGGUGAAAGAACUAGGAUUGGCAGUGGAGAUGAGAUUAGACUCCAGGUACGACGGAGAUGUUGUGAUGGCGGAGGAGAUAGAUGGAGCCGUAAGACGUGUGAUGAAGGCUGAUAGCACAGUGAGAAAGAUGGUGAAAGAGAUGGGAGAGAAGAGUAGGAGGGCUCUGACGGAGGGUGGAUCUUCAUACAAUUCGUUUGAACGGUUGAUCCAUGCGAUGAUAAAUACCCGGUAACUAGUACUUGCUUAUUGUCUUUCUAUUAUCAAUUCCAGAUGUUUGGAAGUGACUAAGGGUCCUCCAUAAAAUUAUUCUCAAAAAAUUAUUUUUGAGAACAGUUUUUAAUUGUAUUUUAUUUUUUAGAAUAAAGACCUGACAACAGUUUUUAAUUGUGUUUUAUUUUUUAGAAUAAAGACCUAUUUGGAAUUUGGAAUGCUUUCUAACUUAUAUUUUGUAUUUUUAAAAAUUAAUUUUAUAUCUAAGUGUUUUAUUUUCAAUUAUUUUUUUAUAUUUAAUCUAUUGUUUUUAAAAUAGUCAAAUUCUAAAUUUAAAACAAACCAACACUUAACUCAACUCUUAUGUAUAACUAGAUAUAAAACACAUUAUACUAAGAACCCAUUUGAUAGUGAUUUUAGAAAAUAUUUUUAUAUUUUUUAACUGUUAAAAUGGUUAGAAAUAUUUUUAAAAAUCACCAUCAAAGUGUAUUUUAAGAGUACGUCUGACAGUAAUUAUAAGAAAUAUUUAUAACAUUUUUAACACUUAGAAAAUGCAAAUUUUCAUAUAAAUAUUUUAAACGCUUUUUAGAAUCUCUAUCAAACGCACUCUAAAUCUAACAAAAAUAAUCAUUUGAAAAAAAACCGUUCAAAUAUUUCUUCAUGUUGCAUACAUGUUUUACACAAUUUAGGUAAUGAGUCAUUUCACUUUAAUUAACUAUCAAUAAGAUAAGGCACUUGGUUAAAUUAUUGGAAAAUACUAUAAUUUUGUGGUGUUUAAUGAAUAAAAUAUUUGAACCAUUGAAUAUAUAUAUGAUAAAAUCUAAACUAUUGAAUAAGGAUAUAACUUUAUUAAGACCAAAAUAUUAAGAUACAAAUAAAUCAAAUAAGGAUGUAAAAAAUAUAACCUAAAAAUAUAUACUUCACACCAUAUGAUUGAUUUUGUUAGGUACAAAAAAAAAAGUCCUUUAAUAUAUUAGCCAAACCCUCAAUUAUAACCAUAAUUAAUUUAAAUAACAAAAACAUGUCCCUUCCACAUGCUAUUUAUUUUUAUUUUUAAUGAAAAGAAACUAUAGAAUAUCUACCUAAGGGAUUGAAAGACGAAUCAUGAACCGUAAUGUUACAAGAAACCAAUGGAGCUCAAUUUGGUGGAGUCUUGCUGGUAGGGAGAGGAUCCGCACCCUCCUCUCAUGUUCGUUUCUAAUCCACUUCCCCGUUCUUGCUGCCUAUGCAAUGAAGUCCAGAGAGUGUCACAUCAUUCUUUAGAUAUUUUAGGUUGCGGGUCCUCUUCCAUACACUUCUGGGACCGUGAUAUUGAUACCUAGAAUUUAAGGGCUUUGACAAUUUGCCUUCUAAAUAAAAUAUCUCUGAAGUCUGAUAUAGGAAUUUCUUUCCUCUUUGUGACAAGGGAUUGUGCUAUCUUGAAUGUGUGGAAGUACGAUCAUGUGAUUUAGCAGAAAUUAUGGAGGUUAAAUAUUCUUGCACCUGGGGGUAGGAAGCAGAAAGAUUAAAGAGCAGACAACGGAGAUAAAGAAAAUAGAGCUGGUGUUCGUCCCAACUCCCGCCGCUGGCCACUACAUAUCCGCCGUGGAAUUCGCAAAGUGCUUAAUCCACACGGACGAUCGCUUUUUCUGUUACCAUCCUCCAAAUGAGUUGAUCACUCAAUCCUUAUCCGGAUAUAUACAACAAAUCUCUUCUUGCCCCUGAAACCCGUCUCCAUUUCAUUGACCUCCCUCCUAUCGAUCACCCUCCAUCCCAUCACCCCAUGAUAUCUUCCUCAAAUCCAUUGAACACUACACAUUGUUUUCAAUUGAAAGCUACAUCCCUCACGUCAAAUACGCCAUCACUCACCUCAUGUCAUCUCGCUCUUCCCCACACUCAGUCCCACUCGCCGGGUUAGUCCUUGAUUUCUUCUGUCUGCCCAUGAUUGAUGUGGCCAACCAACUAGGCCUCCCUUCUUACCUAUACUUCACCUCUGGUGCUGGUUUUCUUGGCCUCAUGCUCCCCCCCUCAACUCGCCAUAGCCAAAUCGACACUGAGUUUGAAGACUCGGAUCCUGAUCUGGAGCUCCCGAGUUUCGUCAACCCAGUCCCUAUUCGCGUUUUGCCUGAAGCCUUGAGUAACAAGCAUGGUGGUUAUGCUGCUUUCAUAAAGUUUGCACAGAGGUUCAAAGAGGCUAAGAGUAUUAUAGUAAAUACGUUUUCUGAGUUGGAGCCUUAUGCCGUUGAGUCGUUCGCCAAUGGUCAGAGCCUCCCCCCCCCCCCCCCCCCAAAANNNNNNNNNNNNNNNNNNNNNNNNNNNNNNNNNNNNNNNNNNNNNNNNNNNNNNNNNNNNNNNNNNNNNNNNNNGUUUUUCCCGAAACCCUUGGUAAACAACCGGGGGGGUUUUGUGGUUUUAAAAAAUUUUCCCCGGGGUUUAAAAGGGGGCAAGGUUUUUUUAAAAAACAAUUUUUUGGGGUGGGGCCCUUUCCCCGUGGGUUUUUUCCCCAAGGUUAGGACCCCCCCCCCCCCCCCCCCCCCCCCCCCCCACGCCUCGGUGUACACGGUAGGACCGGUUCUUGACCUCGGGGGUAUGUCUCAUUCCGGUUCAGACCGGGUUGACCACAGUAAGAUCAUUGGGUGGCUAGACGCUCAGUUGGAAUUGUCUGUGGUGUUCCUCUGCUUUGGAAGCAUGGGUACCUUCGACGCGCCCCAGGUGAGGGAGAUCGCGCUUAGGCUCGAGCGUAGCGGCCACAGGCUCUCCUGGGCGUCUGCUGAGGCUGGAUGGCAAACUCGGUGGAAGCUCUAAUGGCAUGGAACUCAGUGAGAUCUUGCCUGAGGGGUUCCUGGAUCGAAUCGGAGAAAGGAGAAUGAUCUGUGGUUGGGCACCGCAAAUGAAAGUCCUGGCCCACAAAGCUAUAGGAGGGUUCGUAUCCCACUAUGGGUGGAACUCCAUCUUAGAGAACAUAUGGAACAGUGUACCGAUGACAACCUGGUCCAUGUAUGCAGAACUGUUACAAUAACUAUGGACUCACAUAUAUUAAUAAUUGUUUAUGAUUAAACUAUCUAUACAUAUUCAAUUUAUAUUUAUUAAGUAUGAGUCACCUUAUGUGUAGAGCCCAAGUCACAUGUGUCUUACACGAUGGACCUAAGACACAUGUGGCCCAACAACCCAAUGGGUAUAGUCCCUAAGGCAUAGAGGAAUAAUUAAUAAAAGGGAAAAGGAAAU
rnacentral:lncRNA from 1 species